GGAGCGGUAGUUCAGUUGGUUAGAAUAUCGGCCUGUCACGCCGGGGGUCGCGGGUUCAAGUCCUGUCCGCUCCG
rnacentral:tRNA from 1 species